UACAAGAUGAGAUUGCCCGGCGUG
rnacentral:piRNA from 1 species